AGAUUGGGGAACUACUUCUUCCUGUGUAGUUUGUAUCCAUAGGGUUCACCGUAGUUAGGUUGGGCGGAGUGAUACGCCGCACACGAGGCUAGUUUCAAGUUUGUUACCGGCGACAAGGGUGCCACUUGUCUGUUUUCUUGAGCGGAGAAUAAAACAUAUACAAGUUGCUCUGAAGAAGCUGUCCCCGUGCUGUUCUUACCCACGACCCCAAAAAAAGACUUUAUUAAGGUGACGCUAACUUACACCCAGCGUUACAAUACCAUAAGUCCGUGAGUGUUUAUUAGACCAUUACGUUUUCUAAUAACUUUGCUCUGAUUCUUCAGAGAAUAUUUUGAUGGAUAUUAACAGUUAUUCAACCUUCCUUAAAUUUAACAGAAAAAUGCUGCUGCGUGUCUCGUUUGGCGGAGUGCAGAAGUACAUGAAGCUGCCUGAACUAACAUUCAGUGAUUUCUUGAGAGAAGUGAGUCUAAAAUUUAACAUUGCUGAAGACAGACGGUUGGACAUCAAGGUUUAUGACCAGUCUAGCACAGAGGUCGACUCUGAGGUUUUUGAGGAGAUCGUACAAGAGUUCCAUGGACCUUUCCUAAUUUCAUUGGCAAAUUAAGCACCUGGUUACCCUCAGUCCACGUCAUCUCCAUGCUCUAUUGCAUCUGAAGACACAGUGAUCCUCAACUUCUCGUUGUGUGACCCAGCUGAGGAGCCAGUUGCAGCCGAAGGAAGUCAACCUAAAAGGCCUUGCCGCACUAACUAUGAAGCAAAAGCUCUGAUUGAAAAAAUCUUGACGACAAAGCCUGGAGGUGACCGUGUCAUGGAGGAGUAUGCGAAAACGAAAUCAAUUACAGAUUCAACCAGAAGACGGCUCAUCAACAUACUUACUGCAGAGAUGACGGAAACACAUGGGACAUCGCCGCCCCGGAGUGUAAAAGUGAUGCAUGCACAGGGGAUUGUCGCUCUGUUUCCAUACCUUGAAGACCCAUAUUCACAGACUGGCUAUGAACAUUACUACGAUCCUGAAAGUGGUUCAGGCUACAUUGCAUGGCGGUUGAAGACAAUUCAACGAAAAGCUGCUGAGGAAAGAGGUCCUGCAGUUAGUACAUCUCCUAAAGAUAGAACAAGAUUUUAGAGUGAUGUUUGGUGAGCAGACUGCCAACAAGUUCAUGGAGAGGUGGCCUACCACUUUCAAAGCAGGAGUCAUUAAGGAAAGCCAUGGACUGGUCCCCUCCACAGACCUUCUUGAUUUAAUGCGCAACGCUGAGACAUCUACUGAAGUUGAAAAAGGCUGGGACAGUGACAUGUCUGCCAUCAUACUGCUGCUACAUCUGCUACCACCAUCUGCACAGGGACGAAAGAGGCCAGGGAAG
ensembl:lncRNA